CUCAUCAUCUACAGAUCCAAACAUGUGGUGUUUAACAUUCAGUAGCGUGUGCUGAGGUGCUCUCUGUCAGCUGUGACUCAUGGGACAGCACAUCAACUCUUUCUUCCUCAGCGUUCAGUCGCAUUUGCUUUUCUCCUGCGUGACUUGAUGCACUAAACCGAACGUCAUUGCCGUGAAACCCAAUCCAUGAUCCAGAUUCCAGAUCAUCCCGCACAUUACAGAUGAACACGCGUGUGUGUGAUGCUCUAAUCUGUCAUGUUAUAUAUAUGUAACCGGGUCACAAAGUUAAUGCUAGAAACCUCUGAAACUAAUAGAUCCCUCGGAGGGGUAUGGGUUAUCCGAUCCUUUUUAGUCGCUGGUAGAAAUGUUACGCUGGCCCUUUAAGAGGUGAUAAUGAGCUGAGGAGUCUUGCUCUUGUGUUCCUCCGGUGAGCAGCGCGGUUGAUCAGGCGGCUCGAACAGUGCUCGCGUGGUAAAGGGAUACUUUUGAAGAGCAGGGGAGAAAGUGUUUCAUAAGGCCCUCGUGUGUGUGCUCCAGGAACCGCGAGACACAUCGAGAGAAAGAGGCGAGUUUGUCACAUGCUGUGUUAGUGUGUUGUGCACCAGCGUGAAGAAACAACACAGGCUGCUACCGUUGUCUAUGUUAGCCGUACAUUAUUCGAUUGUUGUAAUCCACGCCCUCUCUCUGAUUCCCAAAUUGUACCAAAAUUAACGCUGCACAGAUUAAAGUGUAGUCUGGAAUAAAAGACCCCUUUUUGACUUUUCAUCCUGUGUCCGGUGCCAUUGCUUUUGCACGGUC